rnacentral:lncRNA from 1 species
UGCAAGCCCAUUUCUUAGCUGGAUGGGUGAAGUGUUCCCUCAGUUCACAUAGACCAGGCUUCCUCUUUAGAGGCAUAAGCUGUAAAACAGGAGAGUCUGUUUUAAGAGGAUCUGUUUGAAGUUUAAUGUAACUGAAGUCCAUGCACCUGAAGCCAUUAAUUGAUAUAAGUGAAGUAAGUCUUUGGGUUUCCGGUAGCUCUGACUCAGAUUCUGCUUGCCUCUUCUCCAUGAGAUUACCAAGGCAUCAGGGCAGAGACUCCCUGAGGCUAUGCUAGAAGGGUACCAUUUGAAAAGGAAGUGUAUGACCCACCGUGAAAUGGAACUGGUAGCUGGUCACCCAGGUGCUCUUCCUUGUUAACUGAUGAGAGCGAUUAUUAUGUGAGAACUUUAACAACCUGCCAAAGGAUCCCGGGGCAAGAAUGAGAGCUGAACCAUUGAAAAGCUGAGCAUCGAAGUGCCUGGGAAGCCCAAAACUCAGCACAUUCAUGCUUUUGCUGGUUUUUGACCAUUGAGAAGAAAAAAGAGUCAGCAACCAGGGAGCAGGAUGAGUGGAUCUGGUUCAGAACAUCUGUGAACACAGAGGGAGUGGAAACUUCACUUUCAACAUCAUCAGCCAACUUCCCUCCCAUUACAAUUCUAUCUCAAGAUCAAGGUCAUGCAACAAAACCAGCAGAAGAAGUCUCCCUCUGUCACCCAGGCUGGAGAGCAGUGGCGCCAUCUCGACUCACUGCAACCUCCGCCUCCCAGGUUGAAGGGAUUGUCCUGCCUCAGCCUCCUGAGUAGCUGGGACUACAGAAGCCCAC